rnacentral:rRNA from 1 species
ACGUAGGGACCAAGCGUUGUUCGGAUUUACUGGGCGUAAGGGCGCGUAGGCGGCGUGACAAGUCACUUGUGAAAUCUCCGGGCUUAACCCGGAACUGCCAAGUGAUACUGUCGUGCUAGAGUGCGGAAGGGGCAAUCGGAAUUCUCGGUGUAGCGGUGAAAUGCGUAGAUAUCGAGAGGAACACCUGCGGCGAAGGCGGGUUGCUGGGCUGACACUGACGCUGCAGCGCGAAAGCCAGGGGAGCGAACGGGA